rnacentral:tRNA from 1 species
AUUUAAAUAGUUUAAUUAAAAUAUUAAUUUGUGGAAUUAAAGUUAUAACUGAGUUAUUUUAAAUC